rnacentral:rRNA from 1 species
ACGAACGCUGGCGGCGUGCUUAACACAUGCAAGUCGAACGGAAAGGCCCUGCUUUUGUGGGGUGCUCGAGUGGCGAACGGGUGAGUAACACGUGAGUAACCUGCCCUUGACUUUGGGAUAACUUCAGGAAACUGGGGCUAAUACCGGAUAGGAGCUCCUGCUGCAUGGUGGGGGUUGGAAAGUUUCGGCGGUUGGGGAUGGACUCGCGGCUUAUCAGCUUGUUGGUGGGGUAGUGGCUUACCAAGGCUUUGACGGGUAGCCGGCCUGAGAGGGUGACCGGCCACAUUGGGACUGAGAUACGGCCCAGACUCCUACGGGAGGCAGCAGUGGGGAAUAUUGCACAAUGGGCGGAAGCCUGAUGCAGCAACGCCGCGUGCGGGAUGACGGCCUUCGGGCUGUAAACCGCUUUCGCCUGUGACGAAGCGUGAGUGACGGUAAUGGGUAAAGAAGCACCGGCUAACUACGUGCCAGCAGCCGCGGUGAUACGUAGGGUGCGAGCGUUGUCCGGAUUUAUUGGGCGUAAAGGGCUCGUAGGUGGUUGAUCGCGUCGGAAGUGUAAUCUUGGGGCUUAACCCUGAGCGUGCUUUCGAUACGGGUUGACUUGAGGAAGGUAGGGGAGAAUGGAAUUCCUGGUGGAGCGGUGGAAUGCGCAGAUAUCAGGAGGAACACCAGUGGCGAAGGCGGUUCUCUGGGCCUUUCCUGACGCUGAGGAGCGAAAGCGUGGGGAGCGAACAGGCUUAGAUACCCUGGUAGUCCACGCUGUAAACGGUGGGUACUAGGUGUGGGGUCCAUUCCACGGGUUCCGUGCCGUAGCUAACGCUUUAAGUACCCCGCCUGGGGAGUACGGCCGCAAGGCUAAAACUCAAAGGAAUUGACGGGGCCCCGCACAAGCGGCGGAGCAUGCGGAUUAAUUCGAUGCAACGCGUAGAACCUUACCUGGGUUUGACAUGGAUCGGGAGCGCUCAGAGAUGGGUGUGCCUCUUUUGGGGUCGGUUCACAGGUGGUGCAUGGCUGUCGUCAGCUCGUGUCGUGAGAUGUUGGGUUAAGUCCCGCAACGAGCGCAACCCUUGUUCACUGUUGCCAGCACGUUAUGGUGGGGACUCAGUGGAGACCGCCGGGGUCAACUCGGAGGAAGGUGGGGAUGACGUCAAGUCAUCAUGCCCCUUAUGUCCAGGGCUUCACGCAUGCUACAAUGGCUGGUACAGAGAGUGGCGAGCCUGUGAGGGUGAGCGAAUCUCGGAAAGCCGGUCUCAGUUCGGAUUGGGGUCUGCAACUCGACCUCAUGAAGUCGGAGUCGCUAGUAAUCGCAGAUCAGCAACGCUGCGGUGAAUACGUUCCCGGGGCUUGUACACACCGCCCGUCAAGUCAUGAAAGUUGGUAACACCCGAAGCCGGUGGCCUAACCGUUGUGGGGGAGCCGUCGAAGGUGGGACUGGUGAUUAG